rnacentral:pre_miRNA from 1 species
GCACUCUGACCUGAGACCUCUGGGUUCUGAGCUGUGAUGUUACUUCCAAGCUGGGAUCUCUGGGGUCUUGGUUCAGGGGGC